AUUGAACGCUGGCGGCAGGCUUAACACAUGCAAGUCGAGCGGAGUGAUGGUGCUUGCACUAUCACUUAGCGGCGGACGGGUGAGUAAUGCUUAGGAAUCUGCCUAUUAGUGGGGGACAACAUCUAGAAAGGGAUGCUAAUACCGCAUACGUCCUACGGUAGAAAGCAGGGGAUCACUUGUGACCUUGCGCUAAUAGAUGAGCCUACGUCGGAUUAGCUAGUUGGUGGGGUAAAGGCCUACCAAGGCGACGAUCUGUAGCGGGCAUGAGAGGAUGAUACGCCACACUGGGACUGAGACACGGCCCAGACUCCUACGGGAGGAAGAAGUGGGGAAUAUUGGACAAUGGGGGGAACCCUGAUCCAGCCAUGCCGCGUGUGUGAAGAAGGCCUUAUGGUUGUAAAGCACUUUAAGCGAGGAGGAGGCUCUUUUGGUUAAUACCCAAGAUGAGUGGACGUUACUCGCAGAAUAAGCACCGGCUAACUCUGUGCCAGCAGCCGCCGUAA
rnacentral:rRNA from 1 species